rnacentral:lncRNA from 1 species
AAGGCCAAGCACACCAAUGGGCUGGGGAAAUCUCCCCUGUGUAAGAACUUUGAGAACAGAAACAAAGUCCAGGGCUCCCUAGGCAUGGCAGGAGACAGAUGAGGAGUCAGCACCCUCGGAGUCUAGAACCCCUAAACCAUUCAUUCCCACCGUCCUCUGCUGCACUGCAAUUGCUUCAAUACCUUCCGGUCUUUAGGUCUUUCAUCUUUCACUUUAUUUCUAUUUAAUGCUUUUUGUUAUUACUAAAAAUCUACUCUCUUGCUCCUG